rnacentral:lncRNA from 1 species
GGAGGGGGAGGAGGGGAGGAACCUGAUCCUCGGUAGCGAAGGGCUGGAGGCAAACACCGAGCUCCCCCUGAGCCGCCUGGGAGCAGGGAGGGUUCUGCUACCCUGAGGGGCCCUCCCCGCGGGGCAGAGGGGACCAGCCCAACAUGGCUUCCAACACAGAGACCAGAAGGACCCAAUAAGAGACCGAAGACACGACUGAUAAUACAGAAAGGAGGGUGAUGCUGUGUGCAAGGCAGAUACAAGAUGGUUUUUCCAUAAGAGGAAGUGAUCAUGGCAACCAUGACCUUCUCUGACCUUCUCUCUUCCAAGAGGCUGUUGGGAAGGUGGGAUGACCUAGGAUUGACCUUGGACUUGACAUCACAGAAGCCAUUUCAACCUUCACAGCUCAUCCUCGUCUACGGCCAAACGUUGGUUUCUCAUUUCUAGAAGAUGAAAGAUGUGAUGACUCAGGAAAAACUUGCUGCUCGAGAUGUGAGUCUUCAGAUGUUCCUGCCGCCAUAUCUGACAGCUGCUGCCAAGAUUCCCUGGUGGGAUGGACUCUUAUACCUCAACAACCAGAAGCCCAAGUAAACUCUUCUAUAAAUUGAAUGACUCAUGCUUAAAAAAAAAAACAAAAAACAAACUA